CAUGCAAGUAUCCGCUGUCCGGUGAAGAUGCCCUUUUGUACAUCUACACAGAUUCAGAAGGAGCUGGUAUCAAGCCCACCCUGGUAGCUCAAGACGCCUUGCUUAGCCACACCCCCACGGGAUACAGCAGUAAUAAAAAUUAAGCAAUAAACGAAAGUUUGACUAAGCCAUGCCAACAGAGAGUCGGUUAAUCUCGUGCCAGCCACCGCGGUCAUACGAUUGACUCAAACUAAUAAGAUCCGGCGUAGAGUGUGGUUAAAACUUAUAACAAUAGUAAAGUUAAAUUUGUUCUCAGCUGUAAAAAGCUAAAGAACCAAAGACAAGCAAGCUACUAAAGUGACUUUAUAAAACAUGAGCCCACGAUAGCUGGGGCACAAACUGGGAUUAGAUACCCCACUAUGCCCAGCCUUAAACUCAGAUAGUUAUUAACAAAAUUAUCCGCCAGAGAACUACGAGCCACAGCUUAAAACUCAAAGGACUUGGCGGUGCUUUAUACCCCCUAGAGGAGCCUGUUGCAUAAACGAUAAACCCCGAUAAACCCGACCAUCACUUGCUAAAUCAGCCUAUAUACCGCCAUCUUCAGCAAACCCUUAUAAGGAUAAAUAGUAAGCUCAAGCGUACUCGCAAAAACGUUAGGUCAAGGUGUAACCUAUGUGAUGGAGUUAAUGGGCUACAUUUUCUAACCUAGAACACUACACGGACUUCUACGUGAAACGCCAGAACGAAGGAGGAUUUAGCAGUAAGCCAGGAAUAGAGAGCCUGACUGAACAUGGCCAUGAAGCACGCACACACCGCCCGUCACCCUCCUCAAGUGCUCAAGAACAAAAACCAUAUUUUACAAGUACGAGUAUGAGAGGAGACAAGUCGUAACAAGGUAAGCAUACUGGAAAGUGUGCUUGGAUUACUCAAAGUGUAGCUUACACUAAAGCGUCUGGCCUACACCCAGAAGACUUCAUAGACAUGACCGCUUUGAACUAGACCUAGCCCCAAAAUCCACCCACCCAACUACCUCCACACCUUAAAUGAAACAUCUACCAGCUCUAGUAUAUGCGAUAGAAAGACCACUUAGGGAGCCAUAGACAAAGUACCGCAAGGGAAAGAUGAAAGACCACCUAAAAGUAUAUAAUAGCAGAGAUUACCCCUCCUACCUUUUGCAUAAUGAACUAACUAGCAAUAUUUGACAAAGAGAACUGAAGCCAAUACCCCCGAAACCAGACGAGCUACUUGUGAACAAUUGCUAGAAUGAACUCAUCUAUGUGGCAAAAUAGUGAGAUGAUUUGCAAGUAGAGGUGAAAAGCCUACCGAGCCUGGAGAUAGCUGGUUGUCCGAAAAAAGAAUUUUAGUUCCACCUAAAGCAACGCCAAAAACCCCCUACCCAAUUUUAAUGCAGGCUUUAGAGUCAUUCAAUAGAGGUACAGCUCUAUUGAAAAAGGACACAACCUUCCAAGGAGAGUAAAAAUUAGAUUAACAUAGUUGGCCUAAAAGCAGCCACCAAUUAAGAAAGCGUUAAAGCUCAACCCUAAAAACCCUACUAAUUCCAAUAAUUAUACUGAACUCCCUCCUCACCUAUCGGACUACUCUAUUCACAUAUAGAAGAAAUAAUGUUAGCAUGAGUAACAAGAAAAAUUUUCUCCGCGCAUAAGCUUAUAUCAGAACGGAUGCCCACUGAUAAUUAACGGUCUAAUACCCACAAACAGCACAUAAACCCAAUAUUACCCCAACCGUUAACCCAACACAGGAAUGCGACUCGGAAAGAUUGACAGAAGCAGAAGGAACUCGGCAAACACGAACCCCGCCUGUUUACCAAAAACAUCACCUCUAGCAUGAUAAGUAUUAGAGGCACUGCCUGCCCAGUGACAUUAGUUAAACGGCCGCGGUACUCUGACCGUGCAAAGGUAGCAUAAUCAUUUGUUCUCUAAUUAAGGACUUGUAUGAACGGCUAGACGAGGGUUCAACUGUCUCCUGCCUCCAAUCAGUGAAAUUGACCUUCCCGUGAAGAGGCGGGAAUGAUUAUAUAAGACGAGAAGACCCUAUGGAGCUUCAAU
rnacentral:ncRNA from 1 species